AAUGUCCAUUUAGAUGUGCGCAUUUUUAUUAGUUACAGAUUUUUGGUAGCAUGAGCAGCGGGUUUCGGCGGCCGCGGUCGGCGCUGCCGUCGUGUCUAGUGCGCGCCCCUCUGACCGGCGCCAUGAGAGCGGCUUCGCCGGUGGAUCUCAUGGACAGUGCGUGCAUCAUUAACCUUCUAUAGUCCUCCGCGGCGAAUCGCAUCACAUCGCCGGCCGGAGCGCCGGCCAUCUGGCCGUUCCCCUUUGCUGUGCGGUACGCCAUCUCGGCGGAAGCUGCAAUCUCCUCCGGCGCCCGCGUUGCUGAGCGGAGUUUCCUCAUGCAGCAGCAGCGGCGGCAACUCCUAUCCAUCUACCAAAGAAAGUGGCAUUAUCUUAUCCAUUCAGUAUGUAUCUUUUCCUCUUUACUGUGUGUUUGCACGAACAGGUGCAUAUCUCCCUUUGCCUUACCAUUUCCUCUUUGUAUUAAAUAAAUUUGAGCAGCGUAUGUUUGCAUCUUGCUGUAAAGUGUACUUGAGAGACGAUGGUAGAGGAGCCAUCAAGGAAAUUGCUGGCAGAUGCAGCUACAAAAUUACUUGUUCCAGUAUUUUCUAUUAUUUGUGAAAUUGGAUAUGACUGGUAGGCUAUGUAAGAAAGAAAUUUUAUAGUAAUUGAGAAAAUGAUCUUGGUUCUUCAAUGGCUCUGUAACUUUAGAGCCACGUCCCUAAUGCAUACAUAUAUAACUGGUAUUGAUCUUGUCAAAUCAGUUGUUAGCCCUUGCUCGCAUAUUUUUGUUUACCUGUAAAUGCAGAGAGAAGUACCUUGCUGACAAAUAUAAUAUUUCAGAGAUAACCAUUUAAAACAAUUUUAAAAACCAAUUUAAAACAGUUAAGGCUGCUAUGUCUUUCUAGAAAAAAAAGGCUACUAUGUCUGCAACACAUUAUAUUUGGUCAUUUAAGAAUGUUUGUAUUUGUUCUUAACUUCUAAUUCUAGUUAUUAAAAAAUAUCUAUAAUAUAUCCUUGUAAACAAUGUUUUUUGCAACCUUGUCGGAUGGACGCUCUUCAUCUGAUAUAAGUAUCCGCAAUCCAUUUCUGCUGGAAACCCUUGACAUUGCAACAUAGAGUUGGCCAUGUGUGAACACUUGCCUUUCUAAGUAGAGUCCAACCUUUUUGAGAGAUUGCCCCUGACUUUUGUUUAUUGUCAUAGCAAAGCACACUGAUAUUGGGUAUUGUCUCCUUUUCAGAAUGAAAGGCCAUUUUGAAUCACUUGGUGACAUAAUAAUUCGUGGGAUGUAAACUUUGUCACCAAUGUUAGUACCUGUUAUGACCUGGCCUUCGAUGAAACGCUUUACUAGCUGUGUUAUUGUUAGUCUUGUCCCAUUGCAAAGUCCUGCACUUUGAUUGAUGUUCCUCAUAAGCAUUACUGGAAUUUGACUCAUGAUGUAGGUGUUAAUCUGGUCAACAGUCUCGUUCCUUGGGCACAGGAUCGCUCUUUCCUCUAGUAUCCAGUUUGCAAAUUCAGCUGUCUUUGCUUUCUCUUCUGGACUACCUUCGGAUGAAUUCAGACGCAUAUUUUCUGAUUUGUCUGAAGUCACCUCCCAAGACUACUGUCAUUCCACCAAACGGUCUAUGCUCGGCAUCCUCAUUUGUGAAUCGAAAAUCGAACUAUCUGGUAGUGGCAUUCCUGGAAAAUCUUUGAGGGACUUACCACCUUUAGCCAAUAGCUGUUCGAUCUCUGCCAAGAGGAGGCUCUUUAUUUGCAAUGAGAUCAGUCACCUCGCAAAAUAAAAGUAUUGUGCAGAAAAGUUGGCGCAUUUGAGGAGCAGAGGCCCAAUGGGAUGCUUCCUUGAUGCAGUCAUCCCACUCCUUGUCGUCAUUAAGUAGCCCAAGAGCAUAACAUGCAGAUUUGUAUGUUGGAUGUACAACCCCAUCAACUGUUCGGAUUUCUUCAUAGGAUCUGCAUCCUUUCACGGUAUUUAGAAGCAUUCUCAAGUAGUAUUUUUCACCGCUUAUUGGUUGUGCAUAGUAAAUCCUGCCUAUUGUUUUUUACCACCACGUCUUUUCCUCCAUUCUUUCUCUUUUGCAUGCCAAGUCCAUUUGGUUGGAAACUGUGCAUACGUCAAACUGCGAGCUUCCUCAUGCAAUUGGUUGGCUGUCAUCCAUUCUGUGAACAUUGUCUUUUCUAUGUUAGGCCGAGAUAUGAUUUUAUCUAAAUCCAUCGAGUCUGGGAAUACCACAACAUGUUCAUUUUCUAGGUGAAAUUGUAACCUUUCAACCGCAGGCUCUCUAUACUGAAGAGGAAACUGAAAUAUGCGCCAUGCGGCUUCACAUCCAGAUAUGUACCGAGCAUCAAGCUGGAGUAUCUCUUUCCUUUUUCGUCUAGCUUCCUUCCUUGCUGCUCUGAUAAUAUCUAAUUGACUAUCAUUAGAUUCUACUGUCGCAAGCUGUGAGGUUCCUUGCUUAGGUACCACAUUGUUUUGAAGGAUGUUGUCUGGAUCAAUCAGUUUCCUGGAAAUAUUCCUGUUCUCCUACUGAUAGUAUGCCAACAAAGAAUUGUAGAUCAUGUACAUGUGUUAUUACCUUUUAAGCACAGGACAUACUAUAUGGUUUGUAAUUGGCAAACUAAUUUUGAUGUUUGUUCAUCAAUUUCUCUGUAGUUGCAAUUAACAAAGCAUAUGUGAUGAGAUUACGGAGUUGAUGCAUAUAAUAGUGGAAGUUGGUAAUGAAUA